UACGCAACUGCGUCUGCAGCGGUACUUUCCAUGGGAUAGUGAAAGAAAGCCGGCAGCGAAAGAAGGGGUCUCGUCUUGCUGGACACACUGUUUAAUAGAUCCCCUUCAUCGCAGAUGCAUGCAGCAGGCGCAAGAGAAAACGAAUAGAAACCUUCGGCGUCAAUAAAAAGUACAGGGGAAUGGGUCAGUCUGUUGGUCCUGUCUCGGCCUCUUCCUCGCAAGAAGAGGGGUAUUCGGGGAUGUUGCCUGUGCUCCCCCCUCCUGUGCUGGAGGAGGUGUUUGUGAACGUUCCACCCAAGGAGGUGGUGUGCGUGUGUCGGCUGGUGUGCCGGGAGUGGAAGGAGGUGGCCGACAGCGCCGCCUUGUGGCGGGAGAUGUGCAGGCGGGACAGGUUUCGGCCCCGCGACAUCACCAGACCCCCCACUGACUGGCGGCUCUUUUACUUCCUGUGCAAGAAGAGGCGAAACCUGAUAAAGAACCCCAGCGCUGAUGAGGGAUACAACGGAUGGCAGAUUUUGGAGAACGGGGGCGAUGAGUGGAGCAUAGAGCCUUUAUCUGAGUAUCGUCCUGAGGGAACGGCCACUAAGUAUUUUGUUACUUCCUUCCAUACCUGUAAGAAGUGCCAGCUAAUAGACCUGGUGAAGGAGGGAUACAGUCAGUCGUUCAUGGAUGAGAUUCAGCCUGAUAUUGUCAUAUCUGACUGGUACGCAGCUCGCUGGGACUGUGAAAGCAUUUAUGAGAUUUGUGUGGAGCUGCUUAGCCGAAACAAGGAGGUAAUCCGUAAGUUCUGUCCAGAACCCGUCUACAUUGAGACGCCGGUUGAUGAGAAUUGGCGACAGAUGACCCACGUGUUCCGGGACUACGGGCGGGGCGUGUGCUUCGUCAGGUUCUGUCACGGGGGGAAGGACCAAAAGUACUGGAAGGGCUGGUACGGGAUCCGGGUCACCAACAGCAGCGUGGAGAUCUGCCCCUCAGCCGACAGCGCCGCCUUGUGGCGGGAGAGGUGCAGGCGGGACAGGUUUCGGCCCCACGACAUCACCAGACUCCCCACCGACUGGCGGCUCUUUUACUUCCUGUGCAAAAAGAGGCGGAACCUGCUAAAGAACCCCAGCGCUGAUGAGGGACUCAACGGAUGGCAGAUUUUGGAGAACGGGGGCGAUGAGUGGAGCAUAGAGCCUUUAUCUGAGACUCGUCCUGAUGGAACGGCCACUAAGUAUUUUGUUACUUCCUACUCUUCCUGUAAGAAGUACCAGCUAAUAGACCUGGUGAAGGAGGGAUACAGUCAGUCGUUCAUGGAUGAGAUUCAGCCUGAUAUUGUCAUAUCUGACUGGUACGCACCCCGCUGGGACUGUGGAAGCAUGUAUGAGAUUUGUGUGGAGCUGCUUAGCCGAAACAAGAAGGUCAUCCGUAAGUUCUGUCCAGAACCCGUCUACUUUGAGCAGUGGAAUGACCAGAAGUGGCAACAGAUGACCCACGUGUUCCGGGACUACGGGCGGGGUGUGCGUUUCGUCAGGUUCUGUCACGGGGGGAAGGACACGCAGUUCUGGGCCGGCUGGUACGGGAUCCGGGUCACCAACAGCAGCGUGGAGAUCUGCCCCUCAGUGCCUGUCUGAGUGGACCGUUUGGCCACGCCCCCUCCCCACCUCGCCACGCCCCACCUCGCCGCGCCCCUCCCCUCCCCUCUGGAGGGACGUUUCACUGACGCUUCUCCCCAGAACAGCUACGGUGCCUUCGCCCCUGAAACGAUUCCUCCUGAAGAACACCUGUUUCACUUUAACCUGCUCCUGGCGUACCUGUGUAUCCUAAGACUGCGUUAUUAUAACUGCUCUGUAGCAGCAAGCAGAAUGUAUUAGGGGUGGCAGUGGCAGUGCAGUAUACUAAGGAGUUGGUCGUGUAACCUGAAGGUCAUAGGUUCGAUUCCCAGGUUUGACACUCUUGAGCCUGUCACUGAACCUGCACAGCUUCAGUGUAUAUAUAUCCACCUGUAUAAAUGGAUGCGAUGUUAAUGCUAUGUAAAAAGUAGUGCAAGUCACUCUGGAUAAGAGCGUCUGCUAAAUGCCCGUGUUACGAUCAGCCCCUGGCCAGUCGCAACAUAAACGAGAAUCACGCAAAAUAGUCGCAAUUCAAAAAUAUGUUUAAAGAACACUACAAAAGAACAAAAAUGCGCAGUGUAGCCAGACUGCAGGUUGUUCUCUGAAUGGAGAGAGAGAGUGAGCAUCAGCCAGAGGGCCCCUUAAGUAGGACCCCUUCCAGGUGACACCCAUUUCCUAUUAGGAAGACAAACAAAUGUCGCAACACCACAUUCAGCCACUAGGGCACAAGGUCAGGGAACCCUAACACCCCCACCACCAAAUAGUGACACCAGUCGCCACCAAAACAGUCACAAAUCAGGCAAAAUAUAUAAUACACCAUCAUACAACUAAACAUACAUAUAUACAGGGACUCGGACCCUACUACUACCCACCAACCAGUGCCCACUCACCGACCCGUAUCUCCAUUCCAACACAUCCAACGACCCCGGCGCCUGGGAAAGUUGAAACAGAAGGGAGAAGCAAGGCAUAGAGAGCGACCGGGAGAUGGAGAGGACAAGAGACCCAAAAAGAGAGUCGCCCUACACCCUUGACAACGCAUCAGCUAGAAUGUUGUCUUUACCACGGAUAUGAACAAUCUCAAGGUUGAAUGCUUGGAGUAUAAGGCUCCAGCGCAUCAACCUCUGAUUUGACCUACAAAUAGCCUCAACCUUUGCUCCUGCGGGACGCACUUGCCCCCUGCCAAUGACCUUACCCAAGUAGGUUACAGUAGCUCUACCAAACUCACACUUUGCAAGGUUAAUGGUAAGGUUAGCAGCCAACAGACGGUCAAAAAGCUCUCGUACAUGACCCAAAUGUGUGGACCACGAGGAGCUAAAAACCACCACAUCAUCCAGAUAUGCCUCACCACCGGGGUCGAACUUCCGGACCCAAACCAGCGUUUCAUUUUCCCCUGAGCAACUUCUAGGUUCUGCUAGGCCAAGUCACUGGCUCGGUGUAAUUGAGAGCGAAAUUUGCUGACGUACUCCAACAAAUUAUGCUGAGGCGUUUCCUUAAGCCACUGGUCCCUCAACAGGGCCAGAGGACCACGCACCGUGUGACCAAACACUAAUUCCGCAGGACUGAACCCUAAAGACUCCUGCACUACCUCUCUGGAUGCAAAAACCAACCAGGGGAUGCCCUCUUCCCAAUCCUUCCCGAGCUCCAAACACUAAGUACGAAGCAUAGUCUUAAGGGUUUGGUGAAACCUUUCUAAGGCCCCCUGGCUCUCAGCAUGAUAAGCACUGGAGACAUUAUGCUUGAUUUGGAGCUGUUGAAGGACUUGGGCAAAAACAUGUGACAUGAAGUUGAUUCCCUGGUCGCUUUGAAUGACCCUAGGGAGGCCGAAAACAGAGAAGAACUUGAUUAAGGCUUUGAUGACUGCUUUUGCAGUAAUCUUCCGCAGAGGGACAGCCUCUGGGAAGCGAGUAGUAGCAGCACACAUGAUUGUGAAUAAGUCCUGAUGGCCCCCUUUUGACCAUGGAAGAGGCCCAACACAAUCCAGAAUUAUAUGCUCAAAGGGUUCUCCAACUACUGGGAUUGGGUAAAGGGGUGCAGGAGGAAUGGUCUGGUUAGGUUUCCCAGUAACCUGACAGACAUGACACGUUUUACAGAAUUACCACAUCUCGCUUUAAGCCGGGCCAAAAGAAAUGCCGAAGGAUGCGAGUGUAUGUUUUAUUAAUCCCUAGAUGUCCGGCUAAACCAUCGUGAGCCACACUCAAAACCUUGUUUCUGUAGUUAGAUGGAAUUACCAUCUGAGAAAUUACCUUCCACUCAUCAGGAACAUCAUGCGGCCUCCAUGUCCUCAUCAACACUCCAUCCCUAAGGAAAUAUCCUUGGGGCACAGCAUCAAUCUCCUGAUCAGGAGAUACAGACUCAAGCAGAGACACAAGGGUUGGAUCAGCCUUCUGAGCAGAGAUUAAUUGUGCUCGAGAUAGUGGCAUGUCACAAAUGGUGGUUCUAACAGUAUCACCCUUCUCUGGAACAAGGUCUUCAGAUGUCUUGACCGUGGGGAGAAAGACAGACUGAGUCAGACAUUUCAGGGUGCCCAAAAAACGUGUCAAAGGUCGUCAAAACACUCUUCCUGCAAGUCGCUAGCAUCAUGUUGCUUUGCCAUAGCACGAGUGACAGCACAUGUAGGGAAAACAUCAGGAUAUUUCUGUUCCAACUCAUCUGGACCCUCACACCAAUGGCACAGAGACAACUUCAGGUGGAGUGUCAGAUUGUCUCCAAACAUUUCCACCUGCCAGAUCAUUCCCCAAAAUAAAUGUAACACCAGGCACGGGGAGGGACGGUCGCACUCCCACUACGACACUGCCAGUCACUAGGUCAGAAAUUAAAUCAAUGCGAUGUAAGGGCACGUCAACAAAGCCCAUCUCAAACCCUCGGAUUAAAACACUAGUGCCAGUGGAGGCCUGUUCAGACAGGGGUAAAACUCCUAAUAAGAAGGACUAAGCAGCGCCUGUGUCUCUGAUGAUACAGACUGGUGCAUUUCCACCCUGCCCAGGUAUUGACAGAGCCAUUCAUGAGAAAUGGUGUAAUUCUUUUGAGUACUGGAGCAUUUGGAUGGUGAGACAUGGAAUUCAGGUUCAGCAACGUCACAAGAAGUCAAAGCAGCUACCAGGCUGACAGAUUUAGCACCCUGCUGUUUUUUCCUGAGACUAAAGCAACUGGAGAUCCUAUGUCCUGGCUUUUUGCAGUAAAAACAGACUCCAUCAGGGUAUUUACCCACAGGGCUAGACUUACCCAGUGGCACAGAUGGCACAGGGCCAGUGGAAGUGGGCUUGAAGGAACGAAAACGCCCUUGAUGUCUGCCUUUGCCCUCAUUACGAUGUUUUUCCCCAAACACAAUCUUAUGGGUUAACACAAAUUCAUCAGCAAGGACGGCAGCUUCUGACACCUUGAUUACUUUUUGUUCAUUGAGAUAAGUGGUAAUGGCCUCAGGCAGACCAUUCUUAAACUCCUCCAGAACCAUCAUCUCACGGAGUUGUUCCUUAGUCUCAACCUUCUGAGAUCGACACCACCUAACAAACAACUGCCCCUUCUCCCUUGCAAACUCCACAGAAGUGUUUAUCCUGCUUAGCAUAGCGUCGGAACUUCUGUCGGUAUGCUUCAGGUACCAGUUCAUAUGUACGCAAGAUGGCAGCCCGGACUAAAUCAUAAUCAGCACUGUCUUCAAAUGAUAAAGUUGAAUAUGCCUCUUGGGCCUUACCAGUAAGGACACAUUGCAGCAACAAAGUCCAUACAUCCUUCGGCCAAUUUAAAGAGGUGGCCACUCUCAAAAUGAGAAGUACCCCUCUACCUCUUUCUGAAAACGGAGGAACCAUACAAAUAUGCCUACCUACCUCAAAUGCAACAGGAGGGGUAGUCUUCUUGCCUUCAAUAUCUAACCUCUUCAUCUCCAAAUCUGCCUCUUUUGCUGCCAAUUCUAACCUUUUCAUUUUCAAUUCCCGAUCAAGUAAUUGUAAUUUCAAAGUAACCUCAGACUCGGUGAGUCGCGAGGGGGACUCCUGUUUAGCUCUAAGGACCCUCAUGUCAGUUAGAAUUGCCUUCAAAGUGUUAACAACGUUGGCUCUAACUCGUUUAUCACUACUAGAAAUCUCAAUUUCGUAGUAUUCUGCAAUUUUAAACAGCUGCUCUUUAGUAAAUUCCUCUAGCAGGUCCUCAGAGGGAUCAAAAACAGUAGACAUCUUUAAGAUCUAAUCCCAACCAAUGCAGUCAAAUCCUAGAACAAUCAGAACCACUCACCUAAGAAAACUAACACAUCAAGAGGCUAAAAAAAUAGAAUUGGAUCAGUGCCCCAGCACCACAACAGCAGUAAUAGUGUAACACUAAACUACCAAUACCACAGGUUACACAAAAGGCUAUAGGAAGGCAAAACAAGUAGCCUACUGUCAUUCUAAUCAAAGAACCAAAGCACAAGAAAAGCGUUACAGUACAAUAUCAACAGUAUCACAACAAGUACCCUAACCAUUCAGCUUUACAGCUACAGCACAAAACGCAAGUGCAGGGACAACCGCACACAAAACCACUAUGAAGCAGCCAAUAUCAAGGCAUCGAUGUAAAAAUUACCAAAUUUUACAAGCUUACAAAGUAGUUACAAGCGAUGCACAAAAUUGCUACACUAACAUUGUGACUAGCACUACGAAUACAACCAUUACACAAUGGUAGCAUCAAAACCAUCCUCGGUUACACGGGAAUGGAUCACGAAAGUAGCUCAGAUUUACUGACCGAGCGCUGAUAUUGCUCUCUCGGAAAAACACACGGAAGUAAUUCUAACACGGCUCACAGCCACCACGGCUUGAAAGAACACGAGUCACAGUUCGCAAGUCGAAAUGUGAACACGCUAAGUUUGCAGCUAGUACGAACACGAACAAACGAACGACCAUGAACAUGGAAAUAUCACUAAUUAACAUGCGAACACAGCUACCGAUUGCUUAAUCAAACAAACUGCAAAGGUAGAAAUGUAGCAAAUUUCCAUACUCACCCCCAAACACAACCACAAGCUCUCUCGUCCUAGCGUCCUCCGCUUGAGCAAAAUCACAGGUGAUACUAAUCACACUAAUUACAAUAAGCUGAGUCACUAUACGUUGACUUCCCCAGGUCCUAACUAUCUAGUAGCAACGAAAAUUUAACUAAAACCUAACAGUCUUCAGUGUAGUUACCGGGCUCGAUGUGGCUUUUAAACGCAAAACCCGUGAACGCAAAUGAGACCAACUGAAUAGUCGCUCACGGCGAACCGGAGCAUACCCCCACCCAGAGUUAACACCAAAAAUAAGAAAGGCAAAAUAACAAAGUUACAAGCCCGAAGGACAUGCCCGACGACUAUAAUUACCUGAGGAAAAACACAGCAAACCAAUAACACUCAGUUGACUCAACCUACCGCCGCACCACGCAAACGCGGAGAACUUUAAUAUCAAAACUGUGCUCAAGCGAGAUACAAACUAGAGAGAAUACAUACCGGAUCAGCAGAUCCCGGACGAGCCCCCAAUUAUGUUACGAUCAGCCCCUGGCCAGUCGCAACAUAAACGAGAAUCACGCAAAAUAGUCGCAAAUCAAAAAUAUCUUUAAUUAAAGAACACUACAAAAGAACAAAAAUGUGCAGUGUAGCAAGACUGCAGGUUGUCCUCUGAAUGGAGAGAGAGAGAGCAUCAGCCAGAGGGCCCCUUAAGUAGGACCCCUUCCAGGUGACACCCAUUUCCUAUUAGGAAGACAAUCAAACAAAUGUCGCAACACCACAUUCAGCCACUAGGGCACAAGGUCAGGGAACCAUAACAGCCUGUAAUGUCUGAAAGACUGCAAGAUCACAGUGGUCCAGUGCACUUUGGUGAGGAACCAUCGGUAAUUAUGAGUAUCUGUACUGUGAACAUGUAUGUCUAUGACACCACUGACAUAUAAUUAUUUUAAAAAGACAUUCCAAGAGCUCUGUGUUACUGUCAUAAAGGGAGGGAAACAAGGUGCCAAAAACAGGGUGAGAAAAACUGACACAACUGCUAUUCAGGAAACAUAAUAUAUACGUAUAUAUAUGUGUAUUGCUCAUUAAUCUUUUUCUCUCUGAGCAGUUGCAUUAGUAUGAAAAAAUGUGCUUUUCAAUCCCCCGUUUCAUCUGUUGUUUAUUUCAUGCACCUUUUUAAAUUAGGAUUUAGAAAAGCUGCUUUUAUUUGUAUUUAUCCUUGAUAUAAUGCGUCAUUAAUAAAAUUUCAUACAGGUUUUUUAUCAUGAUGCAAAUGAUUUGAGUUGUCCUGUUCAUGUAAUUGAUGAUACCUGUUUAUUAGCAUGUUAUCUGACAACCUUCAGCAUGAAGACAGUGAAUAUAUGUGCACUAUUAAUAUAAUAUUUAUUUUUCUGUGCGAGUGUGCUUGUCUUCUCUCCCACUCUGGUGGACUGAUUGUGUUCAGGCCCCGAUUUGUCCUGGAAUAAGCACCUUUUCAGGUUUCUUUUUCCAGACGAGUGAUUGGCUGAUGGCUGUCACAUGGGGAUUAAAGGCCUGUCUUGAGCUGUCA